rnacentral:rRNA from 1 species
ACCUACGGGACGCAGCAGUGGGGAAUAUUGGGCAAUGGGCGCAAGCCUGACCCAGCAACGCCGCGUGAAGGAAGAAGGCUCUCGGGUUGUAAACUUCUUUUAUCAGGGACGAAGCAAGUGACGGUACCUGAUGAAUAAGCCACGGCUAACUACGUGCCAGCAGCCGCGGUAAUACGUAGGUGGCAAGCGUUAUCCGGAUUUACUGGGUGUAAAGGGCGUGUAGGCGGGAAAGCAAGUCAGAUGUGAAAACCACGGGCUCAACCUGUGGCCUGCAUUUGAAACUGUAGUUCUUUAGUACUGGAGAG